UAGGGAAUCUUCCACAAUGGGCGCAAGUCUGAUGGAGCAACGCCGCGUGAGUGAAGAAGGUCUUCGGAUCGUAAAGCUCUGUUGUAAGAGAAGAACGUGUGUGAGAGUGGAAAGUUCACACAGUGACGGUAACUUACCAGAAAGGGACGGCUAACUACGUGCCAG
rnacentral:rRNA from 1 species